CGAGCCUGUCGCGGCCGGACCGGCCACGCUGCCAGUUUCUCAGUGAGUGAGCUAGUGAUCGUCUCGUCUCUCUCUCCUCUCUCUCUCCUCUCUCUCUCUCUCUCUCUCCUCUGCGAAGAGAAGAGCAGUGCCUGCACGGACCAGUCUUCGCCGGAGAUCGGAUGGAGAGGCUGCUCUCGACGGUUACUCAGCAGGGAUCGUCGUACUUAAACGUCGUCUUCGAAACGCCGCGAUGCAGGUGGGACGCACACGCAGGUGAUGGUACCAGCAGCAGCAGCAGCAGCCGUAGUUCAACGAGAUGACCACCGGCAGUUCGUCGAAUUUAACAAGAUCUUGGCGCGGACAUUUUCUUUGGUUAUCUAGCUGUAUGAGUUUGGUUGUACAUCAUAAAGCUAGGUUACCGGAGUUGAGAUCCUCGCCAUAUCAACAACCACAUCGGAAACUACUCGGCCGCAUAUAUAAUUAAACCGACCAGGCAUGGACAAUAGCCGCUACGGAAAGAUGGAGAGAGAGAGAGAGUUGCGUGUAUCUUCGACCGAUUCGCAAAUUGAUUCAAUGUUGCGCGACAAGCAGCAGAACGACGGAGGAGGCGAAAUUUCUCGGAAGAAAAAAUUACGUAUUCUACGCUUCGCGCACGCGUUUUUGCCGCAAGACACUCGUGUGCGUGAUUCAUGUACCGAACGUAUCUCUCUUGUUUCAAAUGUACGCCCAAUGCCAAGCGAGCCUUCGAAUGCCUACAUAUUAACGAAUGAAUUAUCUCGGCUCGUUUUUAUCGCUGGCAUUAUACUUUUUUUUUCUUUCAUUCGAACAUUUUGUAUUUAUUGUUGAAUUUUUGUAUAUAAUUUGUUGUAAUGUUUAUUUUUUAUUGUUUUUCAUUAUACGCUUGUGUAAAUUUUGUGCACGUUGUUUCAUUUUUUGUACGUUUUUUUUUUAUUUUAUUUUGUUACAUACAAAUAUAACUGACAAUUCAUAAUUACGUAAGUCACUGAACAAGACAUCCUUUCUUUUCACGCUUUGCUCGCUGCUGUGAGAGCGUACGGACGCGCGCAGUGAGCGUCAAUAAAAAAGGCGAAUUUUCAGGUGCAGGUUACGGAGACACGCUCGGUGGAGAUAGGAGAAUGGUUCCCACACGAUCUUACAAUAAAACGAGCGCUCCGCCGGGGACUGGCGCUUGUAAGUGUAUGUAUGCGUGCCUACCUUACUUGUGUACUUACCUCUCGCACAGUGAAGAAAACAUAUCUCGAGAGCGCCGCUCGUCAAGGGAAAAAUGCACACACAGAUAAAAAGACUUGCAACCGUGAGCGCUCGCUCUUGUCUAUUUAUCGCUCGACGUACUUGGGAAAAUCCUAAAGGAUGUGUGCGCCGUGCGUGAAAAAAAGGUAUUUCCGCCUUCGGCGGCCGGAAUUUCGUCUAUUGUUCCAUGCCGCGUUAUAUGUAUAGCUAUAUGCUCCACGGAAAUACGCACCAUGUGCGCCACCGAACUACUUAAUACAUGCAUUGCGCUCGAGCAUGGGAAUUGAAUAAAGAGAUUUUUCAACUGUAA